UGAGGAAUAUUGGUCAAUGGCGAGAGCCUGAACCAGCCAAGUAGCGGUGCAGGAAGACGGCCCUAUGGGUUGUAAACUGCUUUUAUGCGGGGAUAAAGUGUGGGACGUGUCCCUUAUUGCAGGUACCGCAUGAAUAAGGACCGGCUAAUUCCGUGCCAGCAGCCGCGGUAAUACGGAAGGUCCGGGCGUUAUCCGGAUUUAUUGGGUUUAAAGGGUGCGCAGGCGGCGCGCCAAGUCAGCGGUCAAAGUUCCGGGCUCAACCCGGUGUCGCCGUUGAAACUGGCGUGCUCGAGUGCGUGCGAGGAAGGCGGAAUGCGUUGUGUAGCGGUGAAAUGCAUAGAUAUGACGCAGAACUCCGAUUGCGAAGGCAGCGUACCGGCGCCCGACUGACGCUGAGGCAC
rnacentral:rRNA from 1 species